rnacentral:rRNA from 1 species
CGGGACGGGUGAGUAAUGUCUGGGAAACUGCCUGAUGGAGGGGGAUAACUGCUGGAAACGGUAGCUAAUACCGCAUAACGUCGCAAGACCAAAGAGGGGGACCUUCGGGCCUCUUGCCAUCGGAUGUGCCCAGAUGGGAUUAGCUAGUAGGUGGGGUAACGGCUCACCUAGGCGACGAUCCCUAGCUGGUCUGAGAGGGUGACCAGCCACACUGGAACUGAGACACGGUCCAG